AGCCCUGCCUGGCCUCCUUCCUUGCUGGAGCCAGACAGUUCCUUUCUUGACACUCGAUAUGACCUCUCCCAGACGUCACUCACGUCACUCACUCACGAAUGACGGAUGGAUUGACGGAUGCAGGGAUUCCCUCUGGGCACUGUCCCCACCCCCCUCAGCCCCUGCCCUGCAGAGCAGCUGCCUGGGGGUCCAGGCGUCAGAGGCGCCCAGGCAGCACCUAGAGAGGCUCCCUACAGGAGGCUGGGCAAUGUCUUCCUCAAGGAAAAAGGGGAAAACAGCACAAACCACACAAUAACAGACUCAUGAGUCCACUAGGGUCCUGGGAAGGGGGGAAGUCAAAAUCCUAGAGAGACACGUGUAUGUGCGUAUAAAUAUCCGUCUUUUUCCGAGUUGGCCAUAGCUUUGCCUCAUAUGAAAUGCAAUGGCUUAGAAUCCAGCGGUUCUCAACCUGUGGGUCGCGACCCCUUUGGCGGUCGAACGACCCUUUCACAGGGGUCGCCUAAGACCAUCCUGCAUAUCAGAUAUUUACAUUACGAUUCAUAACAGUAGCAACAUCACAGUUAUGAAAUAACAAUGAAAAUAAUUUUAUGGUUGGGUCACAACAUGAGGAACUGUAUUUAAAGGGCCAGAAGGUUGAGAACCACUGGCUUAGAUGCUCCUGAUCCCUCCCUCGGUGAUGCUAAGCUGGUCAUCAAACCGUCUAGCACAGGGCUGUGCACCAGGACCAGGAACGAUGGACUAGUCCCAGAUCUACACUGUCCGCCACGUGCGUCAGCCACAUCCAGCUCUUGCAAUGAAAGUGAACCAUGAUAAUCCCAUUGCUGGCCAUUCACGGCCUGGAGACCUUAGGGCUGGCUGGAGAGACACCUCCACCAAGGAAAACCAAACGUUUUGAAUGAAGUUAUGGAGACGGAAGAUCCGGGCCCUCCCCGGCCCCUCUCCCGCCUGCUGUAUAACACACAGAGCAUCUCGGGAUCCCAUCUGAUUCCUGAGGUGACCGAUGCAGGGUGUAAGCCAGGGGUGGUGCCAUUUUACAAAUGAAGAAACGAGGCCCAGAGGAGGCACACAGCUCCCCAGACCUGGAACGGAGCAGAGUCUCGAAUGCCUCCCCCAGGGCCCUGCCAUGUGCUGGUUUGGGCUCCUUCGUGUUCACCUGCAGGCGCACCUGGUGCAACAAAGGACUCGAGUGCCCAGAUGUCUCCUUUAGAGGUUCCACAUCAAGCCGCAUCUUUCUCUUAGCGCUCUCUGAUUAAAGCUAAUUGUCUUCACCUACCAA